AUUGAACGCUGGCGGAAUGCUUUACACAUGCAAGUCGAGCGGCAGCACGGGGGCAACCCCGGUGGCGAGCGGCGAACGGGUGAGUAAUACAUCGGAACAUGCCCAGUCGUGGGGGAUAACACUUCGAAAGAAGUGCUAAUACCGCAUACGUCCUGAGGGAGAAAGCGGGGGAUCUUCGGACCUCGCGCGAUUGGAGUGGCCGACGUCAGAUUAGCUAGUUGGUGGGGGAAAGGCCUACCAAGGCAACGAUCUGUAGCUGGUCUGAGAGGAUGAUCAGCCACACUGGGGCUGAGAAACGGCCCAGACUCCUACGGGAGGCAGCGGUGGGGAAUGUUGGACAAUGGGGGCAACCCUGAUCCAGCCAUUCCGCGUGAGUGAAGAAGGCCUUCGGGUUGUAAAGCUCUUUCGGCAGGAACGAAACGGCGAGCUCUAACAUAGCUUGCUAAUGACGGUACCUGAAGAAGAAGCACCGGCUAACUACGUGCCAGCCGCCGCGGUAAUAC
rnacentral:rRNA from 1 species